AGGAUUAGAGCUGCAGUCUAUCCAGUCACAGGCUCCAGGCAUCCAGCUCCAAGGGCGGUCGGGCGGGGCCGUGCCUCCUCCGCCUCAACAGUUGUCUCCCAGAGAUGGGGUCCCUGAUAGAUUGCCCAUGCUCCUGCAGACAGCCUCAUACCCGUGCACAUACUGGCAUCACUAAUUACUCCGUGGGUUAAAAGAAACUCGGGCUUGAUGCUUGGAACAUGGAUUUUGGAUAACAGAGUUUAUUAGCUGGGUUCACUGGCUUCUCUUCCCCAAAGCUUGAAACUAUUCUUCAAACUUAGCCAACGCCUUUCCUUUGUGAGCAUGCCAGCCUCAGAAACCCAGGCAGGCAGGUGUACAAGGUUCAAGGUGGGCUUCCUGAAGAAAGCUGUGAACGGAGCCUGCUAGCCACAGGCUGGACGCUCCCAACAGCAGAAUAGAAGAUUCAUGUUCAUCAUUCGUAGAUCAAAGAAGCACCCUAAACACAGCGGAUAGGAUCCUAGCCCAGGCUGAACCUGGAGUGGGCUGAAACCAGGCUAACAAGCCAGAUAUAAGGAAAAGAGAGAAAAAGACUCCGAGAGAAGGGGAGGGAGACCAGAAACCCUUGGGGCGUUGGCUCAGGUAUGUCCAGACUUCCAUGGCCAAAGCUGUGAACGUUUGCUGCCUCCGUGAAUUUUCCACCAAGAUGAACUGUAUUCUCAAAUUAUGAAUUAAAAUGUAUCCCUCCUCCCCU
rnacentral:lncRNA from 1 species